rnacentral:tRNA from 1 species
GGGGUCGUAGCUCAGUUGGCAGAGCGUCUCGUUCGCAACGAGUUACGACGAUUUUCACCCAUUUUUUCUCACUUCACCA